rnacentral:rRNA from 1 species
GAUGUGCCCAGAUGGGAUUAGCUAGUAGGUGGGGUAAUGGCUCACCUAGGCGACGAUCCCUAGCUGGUCUGAGAGGAUGACCAGCCACACUGGAACUGAGACACGGUCCAGACUCCUACGGGAGGCAGCAGUGGGGAAUAUUGCACAAUGGGCGCAAGCCUGAUGCAGCCAUGCCGCGUGUAUGAAGAAGGCCUUCGGGUUGUAAAGUACUUUCAGCGAGGAGGAAGGUGUUGUGGUUAAUAACCGCAGCAAUUGACGUUACUCGCAGAAGAAGCACCGGCUAACUCCGUGCCAGCAGCCGCGGUAAUACGGAGGGUGCAAGCGUUAAUCGGAAUUACUGGGCGUAAAGCGCACGCAGGCGGUUUGUUAAGUCAGAUGUGAAAUCCCCGGGCUCAACCUGGGAACUGCAUUUGAAACUGGCAAGCUUGAGUCUCGUAGAGGGGGGUAGAAUUCCAGGUGUAGCGGUGAAAUGCGUAGAGAUCUGGAGGAAUACCGGUGGCGAAGGCGGCCCCCUGGACGAAGACUGACGCUCAGGUGCGAAAGCGUGGGGAG